rnacentral:rRNA from 1 species
ACGGGGUGCAGCAGGCGCGAAACCUCCACAAUGCGCGAAAGCGUGAUGGGGUUAUCCCCGAGUGCCGUCCGAUGAGGAUGGCUUUUAAUCGAUGUAAGGAUUCGAUAGAAUAAAGGGGGGGGCAAGACUGGUGUCAGCCGCCGCGGUAAUACCAGCCCCCUGAGUGGUAAGGACGAUUAUUUGGCCUAAAGCGUUCGUAGCCGGCUUAUCAAGUCUUUUGUUAAAUCCAACGAUUUAAUCGUUGGGCCGCAAAAGAUACUGUUAUGCUAGAGGACGGGAGAGGUCGACGGUAGUCCAGGGGUAGGGGUGAAAUCCUAUAAUCCUUGGAGGACCACCAGUGGCGAAGGCGGUCGACUAGAACGUGCCUGACGGUGAGGGACGAAAGCUGGGGGAGCGAACCGGAUUAGAUACCCGGGUAGUCCCAGCUGUAAACGAUGCGGGCUAGGUGUUGGGGCAGCCACGAGCUGCUCCAGUGCCGCAGAGAAGUUGUUAAGCCCGCCGCCUGGGAGUACGACCGCAAGGC